UACAGAGGUGGCAAGCGUUGUUCGGAAUUACUGGGCGUAAAGAGCUCGUAGGCGGUCUGUCGCGUCGGAUGUGAAAAUCCAGGGCUCAACCCUGGACCUGCAUUCGAUACGGGCAGACUAGAGUUCGGUAGGGGAGACUGGAAUUCCUGGUGUAGCGGUGAAAUGCGCAGAUAUCAGGAGGAACACCGGUGGCGAAGGCGGGUCUCUGGGCCGAAACUGACGCUGAGGAGCGAAAGCGUGGGGAGCAAACAGG
rnacentral:rRNA from 1 species